rnacentral:rRNA from 1 species
GUGGGGAAUCUUCCGCAAUGGACGAAAGUCUGACGGAGCGACGCCGCGUGAGUGAUGAAGGCCUUCGGGUCGUAAAGCUCUGUCAUCGGGGACGAACGGCCUCAGCAGGUAAUGGCUGGGGAUUGACGGUACCCGAGAAGGAAGCCACGGCUAACUACGUGCCAGCAGCCGCGGUAAUACGUAGGUGGCAAGCGUUGUCCGGAAUUAUUGGGCGUAAAGCGCGCGCAGGUGGGAUCUUAAGUCCAUUUUGAAAGUUCGGAGCUCAACUCCGUGAUGGGAGGGAAACUGGGAUUCUUGAGUACCGGAGAGGAAAGCGGAAUUCCCCGUGUAGCGGUGAAAUGCGUAGAUAUGGGGAGGAACACCAGUGGCGAAGGCGGCUUUCUGGACGGUGUCUGACACUGAGGCGCGAAAGCCAGGGGAGCGAACGGGAUUAGAUACCCGAGUAGUCC